ACACGUGGUAUCCUGUCUGAAUAUGGGGGGCCCAUCCUCCAAGGCUAAAUACUCCUGACUGACCGAUAGUGAACCAGUACCGUGAGGGAAAGGCGAAAAGAACCCCGGCGAGGGGAGUGAAAAAGAACCUGAAACCGUGUACGUACAAGCAGUGGGAGCACGCUUAGGCGUGUGACUGCGUACCUUUUGUAUAAUGGGUCAGCGACUUAUAUUCUGUAGCAAGGUUAACCGAAUAGGGGAGCCGAAGGGAAACCGAGUCUUAACUGGGCGUUAAGUUGCAGGGUAUAGACCCGAAACCCGGUGAUCUAGCCAUGGGCAGGUUGAAGGUUGGGUAACACUAACUGGAGGACCGAACCGACUAAUGUUGAAAAAUUAGCGGAUGACUUGUGGCUGGGGGUGAAAGGCCAAUCAAACCGGGAGAUAGCUGGUUCUCCCCGAAAGCUAUUUAGGUAGCGCCUCGUGAAUUCAUCUCCGGGGGUAGAGCACUGUUUCGGCA
rnacentral:rRNA from 1 species